rnacentral:rRNA from 1 species
AUGGAGGCGUUGAGCGUAUCAAAACUCAUAAAGGAUUUUAAGAUCGCGAAGAUUGAUAGGUGGGCAAAUAGGGUGGCGCAUGAGAUUGCAAAAUUCAGUUUUGGCAGUAGGUCCGAUGGCCUCUUAUGUAAUAGUGUUCCGCCAUGUGUAACUGCUUUUGUAAUGAACGAUUGUAAGAUAACCAAAACUGGGUCCUCUACCAAGCACCUGUCCAGCCCUGUGCGAGCUACACUUCAAUUUGUAUUCUCAGAUAUGGAAGAUUUAAAAGCCUUUGUGAAAGAUUCCGGUUUUGUAGAAGCCGAUGAUCAGACACACCAUGACCUUACUUCUGGAUACAAUAUUGAUGAGGUCGAUUCCUCGGGUGGAUUGGAUUCUCACCCGCUCCAAGUGAAACUUGAGCGACGGCAUGCAAGGGACUACCAAAGAAGAGAUGAUGCGGGUUCAGAAUCUGACAUUAUCUGUGUUAGUGCUGGCAGAUCCAAAGGCGGAAAGAAACGGACAGUUUCACACACUAGCAACCGUAGGAUCAUCAGCAAAAAGGGCCGACCAACGUUACUGGGUCAAACACCGUUGAUCCACUUGCUCCACCUCUCAUAUGACCUUACUGGGUCAAACUUUGGAACCACAGAUGAUAGGCAUGGUCGAUAG